AAGGAGACUGCUGGUCCUAGCCUAGUUCAGUACAGUAUAUGUUGUGAGCGUGCUUCAGAUCUCCGGAGAUAGCACAGUACGCUGUGUCCAGCCCAGAGGUGAAAGCCAUCCAAAGCAGAGUAACUGUGCUAUUGUGCCCAAGUUGAUACCUGUGGAGAGAAAAGGAGAGAGAGUGAAUAACACGAGGAGGAAUAGAGCGAACCCUGUACUUACAGUACGCUGUGUCCAGCCCAGAGGUGAGAGCCAUUCAAAGCAAACUAACUGUGCUAUUGUGCCCAAGUUGAUACCUGUGGAGAGAAAAAGGAGAGACGAGUGAGCACCCAAGGAACGAACUGUGUGAACCAGUACUUACUGUGAGCUGUAAUCAG
ensembl:lncRNA